CAGAGUUUUGGACCUGGCUCAGAAUCAACGCUGGCGGCGUGCCUAACACAUGCAAGUCGAACGAGAAAGUGGAGCAAUCCAUGAGUAAAGUGGCGACCGGGUGAGUAACACGUGACUAACCUACCCUGGAGUGGGGAAUAACCUUCCGAAAGGAGGGCUAAUACCGCAUAAAGUCCUGAGGCUGAGAUGCCAUAGGACCAAAGGAGCAAUUCGCUUUGGGAGGGGGUCGCGGCAGAUUAGCUAGUUGGUGAGGUAAUGGCUCACCAAGGCAUUGAUCUGUAGCCGGCCUGAGAGGGCGCACGGCCACACUGGAACUGAAACACGGUCCAGACUCCUACGGGAGGCAGCAGUGGGGAAUUUUGCGCAAUGGGGGAAACCCUGACGCAGCAACGCCGCGUGGAGGAUGAAGGUCUUUGGAUUGUAAACUCCUUUCGAUCGGGACUGUAUUAUGACGGUACCGGAAGAAGAAGCCCCGGCUAACUGCGCAGACGUACUGG
rnacentral:rRNA from 1 species